UCCAGACUCCUACGGGAGGCAGCAGUGGGGGAUAUUGCACAAUGGGGGGAACCCUGAUGCAGCGACGCCGCGUGGGUGAAGGAGCGUUUCGGCGCGUAAAGCCCUAUCGGCAGGGAAGAAGGAGGACGGUACCUGACUAAGAAGCCCCGGCUAACUACGUGCCAGCAGCCGCGGUAAUACGUAGGGGGCAAGCGUUAUCCGGAUUUACUGGGUGUAAAGGGGGCGCAGACGGCAGCGCAAGCCAGGAGUGAAAGCCCGGGGCCCAACCCCGGGACUGCUCUUGGAACUGCGCGGCUGGAGUGCAGGAGGGGCAGGCGGAAUUCCUGGUGUAGCGGUGAAAUGCGUAGAUAUCAGGAGGAACACCGGUGGCGAAGGCGGCCUGCUGGACUGCGACUGACGUUGAGGCCCGAAAGCGUGGGGAGCAAACAGGAUUAGAUACCCUGGUAU
rnacentral:rRNA from 1 species